UACCGCAUAUAUAUGCAUGAUUAGAUUAGAAUUUAGAGCAAAUGCCAUCCAUCCAUCUGCACGUGAAGGAUGUGAUUUUGAAAGGGGUAUUUUGGGAUUCUCCCAUUGCCUUCCCCCGGCGUCAAGGAAACAUCGUCCCCGCUAUCAGGCUCCCGUGUAUUCAUGGAACAGCUGUGUUGAAAUGGGAGUACGGAGUAUACGGAACGAGAGCUCCAACGUAGAGCUACAAGGUUUAUGCCCCCAAUGACUAUGGAGUGCCAACCCCCAAUAAUCUCUACUGUAGUAGUACUAACGUUGUUCAAACUUCAAACGACCGUCCUUUGCAGAUGUUCAUCACGAGGUUUAUCGCAUUCACACCGUACAGUUGUGUGGUUCUAUAAUUGUCUCUAAAAAGUAUUAAAAAAAAAAAACAGAUUAAAUGGUCCUUCUAGUGUAACUAUGACAGAUUUUAUCCAACUAUUUACUUGAUUUAGAC